CCUACGUGAGGCAGCAGUAGGGAAUAUUGCUCAAUGGGGGAAACCCUGAAGCAGCCACGCCGCGUGGAGGAUGACGGUUUUCGGAUUUUUAACUCCUUUUGUUAGAGGAGAUAAUGACGGUAUCUAACGAGUAAGCUCCGGAUAACUCCGUGCCAGCAGCCGCGGUAAUACGGAGGGUGCAAGCGUUACUCGGAAUCACUGGGCGUUAAGCGCGCGUAGGCGGGAUAGCAAGUCAGAUGUGAAAUCCUAUGGCUUAACCAUAGAACUGCAUCUGAAACUGUUAUUCUUGAGUAUGGGAGAGGUAGGUGGAAUUCUUGGUGUAGGGGUAAAAUCCGUAGAGAUCACGAGGAAUACUCAUUGCGAAGGCGACCUGCUAGAACGUAACUGACGCUGAUGCGCGAAAGCGUGGGUAGCAAACAGGAUUAGAUACCCUUGUAGUC
rnacentral:rRNA from 1 species